AUUAAUUGUCACUUUUGGAGAAGUAACUAUAUCUCGCUUCACUAGUAGAUCAUACUGUAUUUUGUGCUUUCCUCUGUAACAGAGCUCUGCAACCUUCAGGCUGGAAUUUCACAGGGUUUACAUCCAAUUUACAGUGGUUAUGGUGCUUGAAGGCUGCAUGUGCUGUCCUUCAUUGUGGUAAGCCAUUUGAGUUGUUUUGCACAAACAGGUCCCAGGUGCC